AACCCAUGGUGUGGGCAUUGGUUGUGUGUAGCUCUUGAAUCUCUCAUAUGCUUCACCAAAACUCUCAUUGCUGUGCUGAGUGUAGCUAGAGAUUUGGUUUCUCAGUUU
rnacentral:snoRNA from 1 species